rnacentral:rRNA from 1 species
GACGAACGCUGGCGACGUGCCUAAUACAUGCAAGUUGAGCGAUGAAGAUUGGUGCUUGCACCAAUUUGAAGAGCAGCGAACGGGUGAGUAACGCGUGGGGAAUCUGCCUUUGAGCGGGGGACAACAUUUGGAAACGAAUGCUAAUACCGCAUAACAACUUUAAACAUAAGUUUUAAGUUUGAAAGAUGCAAUUGCAUCACUCAAAGAUGAUCCCGCGUUGUAUUAGCUAGUUGGUGAGGUAAAGGCUCACCAAGGCGAUGAUACAUAGCCGACCUGAGAGGGUGAUCGGCCACAUUGGGACUGAGACACGGCCCAAACUCCUACGGGAGGCAGCAGUAGGGAAUCUUCGGCAAUGGACGAAAGUCUGACCGAGCAACGCCGCGUGAGUGAAGAAGGUUUUCGGAUCGUAAAACUCUGUUGGUAGAGAAGAACGUUGGUGAGAGUGGAAAGCUCAUCAAGUGACGGUAACUACCCAGAAAGGGACGGCUAACUACGUG